GCAGACAUGGCCGAGUGGUCUAAGGCGAUGGUUUUAAGUUGCAUAUAACUUUAUCACCAUUAUCGAGAGAUGCGUGGGUUCGAACCCCACUGUCUGCA
rnacentral:tRNA from 1 species